AGUCCUACAUGUCUGAGACUCUGUGAUCGAGAAUCAAGAUUCUCUGAUCAUGAGUUCCACACAUUUUGGGUACCGGGGUCAAGAGUCCCACUGGUUUGGGACUCUUCGAUCAAGGUUUCAUAUCGAUGGACUUUGAUGCCCGAUUGCCCAUCGAAUUUAGACUCAGUAUUUAUGAGAGAUUUAAUUAGUGAUUUGAUCACUAAUUAACUCAAUUUGAUU
rnacentral:lncRNA from 1 species